AUAACUAUUUGCUAUUUCACUCCGUUACGCAGAAGUGUCAUAUAUUUGUCUCUUUUUUAUGGCUGUCAGUUGAAGGGCAUUUUAGCACAGUUUUAGAAAUUUUUCCUAUUUUACAAAAUUUUAUCAAAAUGUUGUCGAGGGUUGGAUUUUUGAAAGGUCAACACUUAAAAUCGUUAGUGCAACCGAAAUAUGUAACUGCUUCAACUUCAUGCCCUGCAGUUGGAGACAACAAAAAUGAA